UACGUAGGGUGCAAGCGUUGUCCGGAAUUAUUGGGCGUAAAGAGCUCGUAGGCGGUUUCUUAAGUCAGAUGUGAAAGCCCCGGGCUUAACCUGGGAACUGCGUUUGAAACUGGGAGACUUGAGUGUGGCAGAGGGGGGUGGAAUUCCACGUGUAGCAGUGAAAUGCGUAGAUAUGUGGAGGAACACCAAUGGCGAAGGCAGCCCCCUGGGUCAACACUGACGCUCAUGCACGAAAGCGUGGGGAGCAAACAGG
rnacentral:rRNA from 1 species